GCGCGAAAACUCUACACUGCACGAAAGUGUGAUAGGGGAAUCCAAAGUGCUUACACGAUUAAGUGUAGGCUUUUGCCAAAGACAAAUCCUUUGGCGAAUAAGUGGUGGGCAAGACCGGUGCCAGCCGCCGCGGUAACACCGGCGCCACAAGUGGCAACCGUAAUUAUUGGGCCUAAAGCGUUCGUAGCCGGUUUAGUAAAUCUUCUGUGAAAUCGUCUGGCUCAACCAAACGACGUGCAGGAGACACUGCUAGACUUGAGAUCGGGAGGAGCUAGGGGUAUUCUUGGGGGAGCGGUAAAAUGUUGUAAUCCCUUGAAGACCACCUGUGGCGAAGGCGCCUAGCCAGAACGAAUCUGACGGUGAGGGACGAAAGCUAGGGGAGCGAUCCGG
rnacentral:rRNA from 1 species